CCCAAUGGGGACAUCUUACAUGUGUAUAAUACAGCCUCAAAGCCAGGGAAAUGACAUUGGUCCAAUCCCCAGAUCUUAUUCAGAUUCCACCAGAUUGACCGUAAGCUGACUGUCAACAUAACCUGAGGUGGUAAAUGCUCCACCAGUGACCAUCUAUUUUAUUUUCACAUCACUCAAAAUAGUUGGUCCUUAUAUUGAGCUAAAAUUGGCCUCCCUGAAAUUUUAGCUGUUGGUUCCAAUUUCUUGCUGGGAAGCUAUGCAGAAUACAGUGUAUGCCUUCUUUCACAUGACUGCCCUUACAAAUAGAUGAGGAUAGGGUGGGGCAGCCAAUACCAGGGCUGAACACUGUGAUGACUUGAUGGUCCUUCCUGUUUUAGGCACUUCUCUAUAAGUCUUUGUUCACAGUUAAACAAAAACGCAAGUGCAGUCAUAUGUUUUAUUAUUAUUAGUUAAAACUUCCAAAGUUUUUGUUGUACAAAAAUUAGAGUUACAAACAACUUAACAGCAACCUCUCCCCGCACCAAAUAAUCCCAUUAAAAAUGGGCAAAAGACCCAAAUAGACAUUUCUCAAAAGAAGACAUACAAAUGGCCAACAGGUAUUUGAAAAAAGGUUCAACAUCACUAAUCAUCAGGGAAAUCCAAAUCAAAACCACAAUGAGACACCACCUCACCUCAGUUAGAAUGGCUAUUAUAAAAAAAGACAAAAAAUAACAAAUACGGAUGAGGAUGCAGAGAAAAGGGAACUCUUAUACACUGUGAGUAGAAAUGUAAAUUAGCAUAGCCACUAUGGAAAAUGGUAUGGAGUUUACUCAAAAAACUAAAAAUAGUGCUACCAUACAAUCCAGCAUUCCUACUACUGGGUAUUUAGCCAAAAGAAAGCAAAUCCAAAAGAAAGUAUAUCAAAAGGAUACCAGCACACCAUGUGUAUUCUAGCACUAUUCACAAACGCCAAGAUAUGGAAUCAAUGUAAGUGUUUAUUGAUGAAUGAAGGGGUAAAAGAAAAUGUGGUAUAUAUAUAUAUACAAUGAAAUGCUAUUCAGCCAUAAAAAGGAAUGAAAUCCUGUCAUUUGCAGCCACAUGGAUGGAACUGGAGGUCAACAUAUUAAGUGAAAUAAGCCAGGCACAGAAAGACAAAUAUUUCAUGUUCUCACUCAUCUGUGGAAGCUAAAAAAGUUGAUCUUAUGGAGGUAGAGAGUAGAAUGAUGGUUACCAGAAGUUGGGAAGGGAUGUU
rnacentral:lncRNA from 1 species